rnacentral:rRNA from 1 species
GUGUCAGCAGCCGCGGUAAUACGAAGGGUGCAAGCGUUACUCGGAAUUACUGGGCGUAAAGCGUGCGUAGGUGGUGGUUUAAGUCCGUUGUGAAAGCCCUGGGCUCAACCUGGGAAUUGCAGUGGAUACUGGAUCACUAGAGUGUGGUAGAGGGAUGCGGAAUUUCUGGUGUAGCAGUGAAAUGCGUAGAGAUCAGAAGGAACAUCCGUGGCGAAGGCGGCAUCCUGGGCCAACACUGACACUGAGGCACGAAAGCGUGGGGAGCAAACAGGAUUAGAUACCCUGGUAGUCCACGCCCUAAACGAUGCGAACUGGAUGUUGGGUGCAACUUGGCACCCAGUAUCGAAGCUAACGCGUUAAGUUCGCCGCCUGGGGAGUACGGUCGCAAGACUGAA